rnacentral:lncRNA from 1 species
GUGGCUUCUUGAAGAAAAAAAUAGUUCUAUAAGGAAUCAACCUAUAUUCAAUAUUUCUCAAUAGAUUUAAAUCUCCUUGAUCUAGGAUGGGUUUCUUGAUUGAAAUGUCCCAAGAUUUUAUCAUUUUAUUUUUAAUUCUUUUAAGCUAAAACCUUUUUCAAACCAAUCUCGCUUCAAAAUUGCACCUCUUCUCUUUAUUUCCUUCUGAUUCUUAUGGUUUUUGUUCUCC